rnacentral:rRNA from 1 species
GAGUUUGAUCCUGGCUCAGAACGAACGCUGGCGGCAGGCCUAACACAUGCAAGUCGAGCGCGCCUUCGGGUGAGCGGCGGACGGGUUAGUAACGCGUGGGAACGUACCCUUCUCUACGGAAUAGCCUUUGGAAACGAAGAGUAAUACCGUAUACGCCCUUUGGGGGAAAGAUUUAUCGGAGAAGGAUCGGCCCGCGUUAGAUUAGAUAGUUGGUGGGGUAACGGCCUACCAAGUCUACGAUCUAUGGCUGGUUUUAGAGGAUGAUCAGCAACACUGGGACUGAGACACGGCCCAGACUCCUACGGGAGGCAGCAGUGGGGAAUCUUAGACAAUGGGCGCAAGCCUGAUCUAGCCAUGCCGCGUGAGUGAUGAAGGCCUUAGGGUCGUAAAGCUCUUUCGCCUGUGAUGAUAAUGACAGUAGCAGGUAAAGAAACCCCGGCUAACUCCGUGCCAGCAGCCGCGGUAAUACGGAGGGGGUUAGCGUUGUUCGGAAUUACUGGGCGUCAAGCGCACGUAGGCGGAUUGGAAAGUUGGGGGUGAAAUCCCGGGGCUCA